rnacentral:rRNA from 1 species
CCUACGGGAGGCAGCAGUGGGGAAUAUUGCACAAUGGGGGAAACCCUGAUGCAGCGACGCCGCGUGAGUGAAGAAGUCUUUCGGUAUGUAAAGCUCUAUCAGCAGGGAAGAAAAUGACGGUACCUGAUUAAGAAGCCCCGGCUAUCUACGUGCCAGCAGCCGCGGUAAUACGGAGGGGGCAAGCGUUAUCCGGAUUUACUGGGUGUAAAGGGAGCGUAGACGGGAGCACAAGUCUGGAGGGAAAUGCCGGGGCUUAACCCCGGAACUGCGUUUGAAACUGUGCAGCUAGAGUGCAGGUGAGGUAAGAGGAAUGCGUGGUGGAGCGGUGAAAUGCGUAGAUAUUAGGAAGAACACCAGUGGCGAAGGCGGCUUACUAAACUGUAACUGACGUUGAGGCUCGAAAGCGUGGGGAGCAAACAGGAUUAGAUACCCCAGUAGUC